CUUCAGUAACGGCGAGCGAAGCAGGCAUAGCUCAAAUUUGUAAUCUGGCGUCUUUGACGUCCGAGUUGUAUUUUCUAGAAGCGAGUUCGGCGACAGCUCCUACCCAAGUCCGUUGGAACGCGGCGUCAUGGAGGGUGAGAAUCCCGUGAAUGGUAGGAUGUCUGCUGCUAUGUGAACCGCCUUCGAAGAGUCGAGUUGUUUGGGAAUGCAGCUCUAAAUGGGAGGUAAAUUUCUUCUAAAGCUAAAUAUUGGCCAGAGACCGAUAGCGAACAAGUAGAGUGAUCGAAAGAUGAAAAGAACUUUGAAAAGAGAGUUAAACAGUACGUGAAAUUGUUGAAAGGGAAGCGCUUGAGAUCAGACUUCCUGUCUGGACUGUCCUUGCUUCUGCAUGGGUCAACAGUCCAGGCGUGGAGGCCAGCAUCAGUUUUGACGGCCGGAUAAAGGCCUUGGGAAGGUAGCUCCUCUCGGGGAGUGUUAUAGCCCAGGGUGUAAUACGGCCAGUUGGGACUGAGGACCGCGGCUUUGCCUAGGAUGCUGGCGUAAUGGUCUUAAGCGACCCGUCUUGAAACACGGACCAAGGAGUCUAACAUCUGUGCGAGUGUUUGGGUGGAAAACCCGUGCGCGAAAUGAAAGUGAAUGGAGGUGGGAUCCGCAAGGUGCACCAUCGACCGAUCCGGAUUUUUUUGAAGGAUUUGAGUAAGA
rnacentral:rRNA from 1 species